CCAGCAGCCGCGGUAAUUCCAGCUCCAAUAGCGUAUAUUAAAGUUGUUGCAGUUAAAAAGCUCGUAGUUGAACUUCUGACAGGAGUGACCUGGCCUUUGGAUGAACUUCCAUUGUUUUGCUGUGUGUUAUCUCUAGUCAUCCUCUCUUAUUUUUUAAAUAAGAGUCUUUUACUGUUAGCAAAAUAGAGUGCUCCAAGCAAAGCGUAGUUUUGAAUACACUAGAAUGGAAUAAUUAGAUAGGACCUCGGUGCUAUUUUGUUGGUUUGCACACCAAGGUAAUGAUUAACAGGGACAGUUGGGGGUAUUCGUAUUUAAUUGUCAGAGGUGAAAUUCUUGGAUUUAUG
rnacentral:rRNA from 1 species